UACGUAGGGUGCAAGCGUUGUCCGGAAUUAUUGGGCGUAAAGAGCUCGUAGGCGGUCUGUCGCGUCUGCUGUGAAACUCGAGGCUCAACCUCGGGCUUGCAGUGGAUACGGGCAGACUAGAGUGCGGUAGGGGAGACUGGAAUUCCUGUGUAGCGGUGAAUGCGCAGAUAUCAGGAGGAACACCGAUGGCGAAGGCAGGUC
rnacentral:rRNA from 1 species